GGGUGCUAACGUCCGUCGUGAAGAGGGAAACAACCCAGACCGCCAGCUAAGGUCCCAAAGUCAUGGUUAAGUGGGAAACGAUGUGGGAAGGCCCAGACAGCCAGGAUGUUGGCUUAGAAGCAGCCAUCAUUUAAAGAAAGCGUAAUAGCUCACUGGUCGAGUCGGCCUGCGCGGAAGAUGUAACGGGGCUAAACCAUGCACCGAAGCUGCGGCAGCGACACUGUGUGUUGUUGGGUAGGGGAGCGUUCUGUAAGCCUGUGAAGGUGUGCUGUGAGGCAUGCUGGAGGUAUCAGAAGUGCGAAUGCUGACAUAAGUAACGAUAAAGCGGGUGAAAAGCCCGCUCGCCGGAAGACCAAGGGUUCCUGUCCAACGUUAAUCGGGGCAGGGUGAGUCGACCCCUAAGGCGAGGCCGAAAGGCGUAGUCGAUGGGAAACAGGUUAAUAUUCCUGUACUUGGUGUUACUGCGAAGGGGGGACGGAGAAGGCUAUGUUGGCCGGGCGACGGUUGUCCCGGUUUAAGCGUGUAGGCUGGUUUUCCAGGCAAAUCCGGAAAAUCAAGGCUGAGGCGUGAUGACGAGGCACUACGGUGCUGAAGCAACAAAUGCCCUGCUUCCAGGAAAAGCCUCUAAGCAUCAGGUAACAUCAAAUCGUACCCCAAACCGACACAGGUGGUCAGGUAGAGAAUACCAAGGCGCUUGAGAGAACUCGGGUGAAGGAACUAGGCAAAAUGGUGCCGUAACUUCGGGAGAAGGCACGCUGAUAUGUAGGUGAAGUCCCUCGCGGAUGGAGCUGAAAUCAGUCGAAGAUACCAGCUGGCUGCAACUGUUUAUUAAAAACACAGCACUGUGCAAACACGAAAGUGGACGUAUACGGUGUGACGCCUGCCCGGUGCCGGAAGGUUAAUUGAUGGGGUCAGCGCAAGCGAAGCUCUUGAUCGAAGCCCCGGUAAACGGCGGCCGUAACUAUAACGGUCCUAAGGUAGCGAAAUUCCUUGUCGGGUAAGUUCCGACCUGCACGAAUGGCGUAAUGAUGGCCAGGCUGUCUCCACCCGAGACUCAGUGAAAUUGAACUCGCUGUGAAGAUGCAGUGUACCCGCGGCAAGACGGAAAGACCCCGUGAACCUUUACUAUAGCUUGACACUGAACAUUGAGCCUUGAUGUGUAGGAUAGGUGGGAGGCUUUGAAGUGUGGACGCCAGUCUGCAUGGAGCCGACCUUGAAAUACCACCCUUUAAUGUUUGAUG
rnacentral:rRNA from 1 species